rnacentral:rRNA from 1 species
AUUGAACGCUGGCGGCAGGCCUAACACAUGCAAGUCGAACGGUAACAGAAAGCAGCUUGCUGCUUUGCUGACGAGUGGCGGACGGGUGAGUAAUGUCUGGGAAACUGCCUGAUGGAGGGGGAUAACUACUGGAAACGGUAGCUAAUACCGCAUAACGUCGCAAGCCCAAAGAGGGGGACCUUCGGGCCUCUUGCCAUCGGAUGUGCCCAGAUGGGAUUAGCUAGUAGGUGGGGUAACGGCUCACCUAGGCGACGAUCCCUAGCUGGUCUGAGAGGAUGACCAGCCACACUGGAACUGAGACACGGUCCAGACUCCUACGGGAGGCAGCAGUGGGGAAUAUUGCACAAUGGGCGCAAGACUGAUGCAGCCAUGCCGAGUGUAUGAAGAAGGCCUUCGGGUUGUAAAGUACUUUCAGCGGGGAGGAAGGGAGUAAAGUUAAUACCUUUGCUCAUUGACGUUACCCGCAGAAGAAGCACCGGCUAACUCCGUG